UCUGUGGCAGAGUAUUGUCUGUAAAAUGUAGGCACACUUUGAACCAUAAUAAAAUGCCACUCAAGUUCCCUGGCAAAGCCAACCCAUUGAGGGAGCUGAUAACCAUCUCUAAAUAGGAAGGGAGAGGAGAAGAAAUCAUCAGUUUGAAGCAUUUCGAGACAGAAAUCAAGCAAGAGUUAUAUUUUAGAUCUAUAUUAAAAAUGUUCAGAAGAAAAAGGGGAAAUACUUUUCCGGUGAGUUACCUUCAAAAUGCUUCAAACGUUUUGCAGAUUGAUGACUUGACUGAUUGUAAUAGUGUUUAAGACUGGAAUGUACUGAUCAUAGAAGUGUUUGUCACAGUAUUUCUCACCAAUGGUUCUAAACUGUUUUACAGACUACAGCAAGCUGGAAGAGAGAAGACCACUAUGACAGCAUCACUCUCUCACUCACCCCUGAUCCACCUGUGCCUGUGUCUGUUGGUCUGGUCACACCUGGGCCUGUCUGAGGUCUCCCACUGCCGUCAGUUAACCACCAUCUAGUGCACCAAGCCCCAUUUGUUCCUGGCCACAGCCUUGUGGGCCAGGGCUUCGACGUGGUCACGCUACAGCUCAAAGGGGCCUACGUGAUUAACUCUCAGAGCUACCUGAUCACCACCACCAACUCAUGUACCUUGUGUGAGAACCCACUGAUGGGCAACAGGUUUGAGAAGCUGCCCCUCUCUGUUCAGGACUUGUGGGUGAACAGCAGCUGAAGCGUAAGGCUCUCCAGCUCUGCUUUAACGUCUGUCAGCUCCUUGGUGGGGAGUGUCUCAAUGAUACAGAAUGAUUGGAGGACGGCUGCGGGGUUGGCAGGAUUCACCAACCUGCAGCUGGAGGGCAGCCAGUUUCCGGCUUCGCCUCCGUCAGAGCCAGAGUGGAUGUUAUUAGCGUGCAGAAAGUCGAUUUGUAGACAGGACAAUUGUUAACUUGUUUUUUUCUUUGAUUUAUUUAUUGUUUUUGUUUGGCGUUUUGCAUUGACUGCUUGUUCUUAUUUUCUACUGUCUUUCAAUUCUUUGUUUAAGUAUUUGUUAAAUGCGAUUUUGCAUACUGUCUUUGAUCAGAGCCCUAUACUACGUACAUAGUUUGAGAAGUUAGUGAGGUAACUUUGGUCAACUCUGAGUUCAAUUCGGGAUAACCGGUAUCACGAAAGUGGCUCACCUUUUAGCCACGUACAUUUCGAUGGCAACGAAUCCUUCAGAAUUAACCUGCUCCUGGGCAGGCUAACUCCAUUUAUCCUGAAUGAAGUGCCUGAGCAGCGAGUUGAGGACCAACGAAAUCAUAUUCCCUCCCUCUCACAAAGACUGCAUCCUCAUCCCCUUCAUUUGAAGAAGACGACUGAUUCAAUAUUUUAUUAUUAAUCAAAUGUUUUUUGUGUGUACAUUUUUUUUAUUGUUAAAUACCUAUCACAUUACACAUUCAGUAAUGACAGAAUGCAUUUUCAACUUCACACACAGUAAAACAUAUGACUUAAUACAAUUAUUUUAUCGAUAGGAGUGGGAAAAAAAGGUUAUUGUGCAUUGAAAAGCACACCAAAGAUGGCAUUAACGAUAACAAGCCUAUAUCACACCAUAGCUUGGUGAUUUUGCAAGAUAACUUUUCUUUCAUUUUGAUUUAGUCACAAAUGAAAAUGUGGCUCAGACUCAUCCAUUGAUUGAUGUUCCAGCAUUGUCUCAAUGAAGAGUUCGGCUUUCGACUAGCCAUGUGUGACAUGCACACGCAGAUACAAGUCUGCUAGAGUUAGUGGCAGGCAGAUAAACAGUAUCCACCGCUGUAGUACGGAUUAAGACUGAGCUGGAAUGUGAAGCUAACUGAAGCUGGCUAGCUUAAUAAAGUAUAUCUAGCUUCAAUCAAUCUGAGCCCAUCAUAAAAAGAAAAUACAAAGUAGGUCACAAAAAAAAAGAAGAUUUGAAAUACAAAUGAACUAACAUCAAGAAGUUUAUGAUGUCACUUUUUGCAUCUUCUGUUCUUCUGUUUUUCAGGUACUGUCUCUUCAUCACCCCUCUCUACCCUGACUUCCACCAGGAGACUCUCUCCCUCCCCCAGAUGCUCAACAGAACCACACUCCCCAUGCAACGGCACUUCAUCACCACCUACGGCACCCACCACAUCCCUCAGAUGACCCUGGGAGGAGGGCUGAAGAGGGUGAUUUCCCUCCGCACCUGCCUGGCCUCCCUCAACAAGUGUUCAUACACCCAUGAAAUAUUUGACCAAGAAGAAGAAUGAUGGAGUGCUGCAUCAGAUGACCUGGCCUCCACAAUCACCCGACCUCAACUCAGUUGAGACGGUUUGGGAUGAGUUGGACCGCAGAGUGAAGAAUAAGCAGCCAACAAGUGCUCAGCAUAUAUGGGAACUCCUUCAAGACUGUUGGAAAAGCAUUCCAGGUGAAGCUGGUUGAGAGAAUGCCAAGAGUGUGCAAAGCUGUCAUCAAGGCAAAGGGUGGCUACUUUGAAG